rnacentral:misc_RNA from 1 species
GAUGAAGAACGUAGUGAAAGGCGAUACUUGGUGUGAAUUGCAGAAUCCCGUGAACCAUCGAGUCUUUGAACGCAAGUUGCGCCCGAAGCCAUUAGGCCGAGGGCACGCCUGCCUGGGCGUCACACGUCGUUGCCCCCCCAUCUACUCCUUCGGGAUUGCGGGGGGCGGAUGAUGGCCUCUCGUGCGCCUCGUCGCGCGGUUGGCCUAAAUGCCAAGUCCUCGGCGACGCACGCCACGACAAUCGGUGGUUGCGAAACCUCGGUUGCCUGUCGUGUGCGGUCGUCGCGCAUCGAGGGCUCGAAAAAAUUGCCGGGCUUCGGCUCGACUUUCAACGCGACCCCAGGUCAGGCGGGGUUACCCGCUGAAUUUAAGCAUAUCAAUAAGCGGAGGA